rnacentral:rRNA from 1 species
UACGUAGGGGGCAAGCGUUAUCCGGAUUCACUGGGUGUAAAGGGAGCGUAGACGGCCAUGCAAGCCAGGGGUGAAAGCCCGGGGCCCAACCCCGGGACUGCCCUUGGAACUGCAUGGCUGGAGUGCGGGAGGGGCAGGCGGAAUUCCUGGUGUAGCGGUGAAAUGCGUAGAUAUCAGGAGGAACACCGGUGGCGAAGGCGGCCUGCUGGACCGCGACUGACGUUGAGGCUCGAAAGCGUGGGGAGCAAACAGG